CCGCCGGCCCGCGCUUUGUUGCGAAAGCGAGGGGGCGAGGUUCUGCGGUGCUAGCGCGCGGAGCGACCAGAAGCUGCGGGCGGGGCGGAGGAUGGAGGCUGUAGCGUCCGCUGCAACGGUUGGAGCUGCGCGUGAGAAGGUGGCGGUGUAGGCAUCUGCGCUCGGGGAAGGCUGGCGGCGGUGGCCGGGCCAUGGCGGGAGACCCCCUUCUCUGGGCUCCCUGAAGUCUCGGGGAGCCGUGACCCAUGGGAUCGUUGAGCAGCCGGGUGCUGCGCCAGCCUAGACGAGCCCUUGCCCAGCAGGCGCAGGGUGCCAGGGCGGGGGGCUCGGCCCGGAGGCCGGACACUGGAGACGAUGCGGCGGGCCACGGCUUCUGUUACUGUCCAGGCAGCCACAAGCGCAAGCGGAGCAGCGGGGCCUUCUGCUACUGUCACCCUGACUCGGAGACGGAUGAGGAUGAGGAGGAGGGGGACGAGCAGCAGCGGCUCCUCAACACCCCUCGAAGGUACGUGGGGGCACGCACCCGCGCGGGCGCGGACCCGCACCUGUUGGGCCUGGGGCCGAGCCGGCGCCCCGUGAGCUUGCGGGGUGCAGCGCUCUCCAGCCUGUGAAGAGGGGUCGUGCCCUUGACAAGUGAAUGUGGAAGCCGGCCCAAUGCCAGACGGACGGGGGAGCGCCUUGGGAGACGCCUGGUAUUCUGCAUUUUUAACCACAGACGCUUCCAGGGUGUUGUUACAGCCCCAAGAUGAGGAUGAGAAAUGCCAAGCCCGAGCUCGCGUCUCGUUAAACCUUAGAGACGCCUGGCUGGCUGGCCUUCCCAGUCCACCUUUGCCCUCUCAAGUGGGUAGCCGCAGACUAAGUUGUUUUGCAUCCGGUUGCCUUAGUACAGACACUAAAUGUAAUCUCUGAAAUGGGCACUCUUACUGUCGCCCACUCAGUGGAGGGGAAAUAAUUGCACACAGGAGUUCUCGUUAAUCGUAAAGG